CAGUUACCAUGCAAGUCGAGCGCCCCCCUGGGGAUCGGCAGCACGGCGUGAGUAACGCGUGGGAAUCUACCCUUGACUACGGAAUAACGCAGGGAAACUUGUGCUAAUACCGCUAUGUGUCCUUCGGCGAGAAAGAUUUAUCGUCUCAAGGAUGAGCCCCCGUUGGAUUAUCUAGUUGGUGGGGUAAAGGCCUACCAAGGCGACGAUCCUUAGCUGGUCUGAUAGGAUGAUCACCCACCUUGGGACUGAGACACGGCCCAAACUCCUACUGGAGGCAGCAGUGGGGAAUAUUGUACAAUGGUGCGCAAGCCUGAUCCAGCCAUGCCGCGUGAGUGAUGAAGGCCCUAGGGUUGUAAGGCUCUUUCACCGCAGAAGAUAAUGACGGUAUCCGGAAAAAAAGCCCCGGCUAACUUCUGUGCCAGCAGCCGCGGUAAUACUAAAGGGGGCUAGCGUUGUUCGGAAUUACUGGGCGUAAAGCGCACGUAGGCGGAUCAUCUCAUUCAUCGGGUGAAAUCCCAGGGCUCAACCCUGGAACUGCCUUUGAUACUGUCGAUCUGGAGUAUGAAAGAGGUGAGUGUAAUUCCCAGUGUAGAGGUGAAAUUCUUAGAUAUUCUUCAGGAAACACCAGUGGCGGAAGGCGGCUCACUGGUCCAUUACUGACGCUGCAGGUGCGAAAGCGUGGGGAGCACAACAAGGAUUAUAUACCCUGGUUAGUCCUCCCCGCUAAUACGAUGAAUGGUUAGCCGUUC
rnacentral:rRNA from 1 species